UACGGAGGGGGCUAGCGUUGUUCGGAAUUACUGGGCGUAAAGGGCGUGGAGGCGGCUUGCCAAGUCAGGCGUGAAAGCCCCGGGCUUAACCUGGGAACUGCGUUUGAGACUGGCAGGCUAGAGGUUGGAAGAGGAGAGUGGAAUUCCCAGUGUAGAGGUGAAAUUCGUAGAUAUUGGGAAGAACACCGGUGGCGAAGGGGGCUCUCGGGUCCACACCUGACGUUGAGGCGCGAAAGCGUGGGGAGCAAACAGG
rnacentral:rRNA from 1 species